ACGAACGCUGGCGGCGUGCCUAAUACAUGCAAGUUGAGCGCUGAAGGUUGGUACUUGUACCAACUGGAUGAGCAGCGAACGGGUGAGUAACGCGUGGGGAAUCUGCCUUUAAGCAGGGGACAACAUUUGGAAACGAAUGCUAAUACCGCAUAAAAACUUUAAACACAAGUUUUAAGUUUGAAAGAUGCAAUUGCAUCACUCAAAGAUGAUCCCGCGUUGUAUUAGCUAGUUGGUGAGGUAAAGGCUCACCAAGGCGAUGAUACAUAGCCGACCUGAGAGGGUGAUCGGCCACAUUGGGACUGAGACACGGCCCAAACUCCUACGGGAGGCAGCAGUAGGGAAUCUUCGGCAAUAGACGAAAGUCUGACCGAGCAACGCCGCGUGAGUGAAGAAGGGUGUCGGAUCGUAAAACUCUGUUGGUGGAGAAGAACGUUGGUGAGAGUGGAAAGCUCAUCAAGUGACGGUAACUACCCAGAAAGGGACGGCUAACUACGUG
rnacentral:rRNA from 1 species